UUCUCUCAACUGAAACUCAUCCUUUCUCUUCUCCGUUCAUCAUUCAGAAACCAUAGAAGUACUCCCGGCAUCGUGAGCUUCUUGCUGGACCGAACAGUUUCAGAGUCUGAAGCUGACUUAGUUGGAGGAAUUAAGAAAAUCGUUGAGGGUAGAAAGCUGUAGUUGGACGAAUCAAAAUCAUACUCUUAGGACGUUCACCACUGAUCCAGAUGGAGAGGCGUUGCUUGAGGAGACGCUUGAAGAAGGAAUCUUAGAGGAAGAAAAUCUCGUCGAUGUUGAAGUGAAGGCCGAACAGUAGUACGUUCGGUUAUCUGUUUAGUUUAGUUAGAUUAAGAGUGCUGUAUUAGAACGACCCCUCCCCUUUUUGAUUAAUUUGACCGUUCGGUAUUUCUAUUUUGUAAACCGUUCGGUCAGGUAUGCUUAGAUUGAACAUCUUUAUUUGUAGCAGCUUAUGUAAGGCCGUUCGGCCAAGAGCGUACUUUAUUCUCUUUAAUUGUAAGACUGAAUUGAUAUAUUAAUAUAUGUGAAUA